rnacentral:rRNA from 1 species
GAGAAAGUUAUUAAGAGUGCAUGAUGGAUGCCUUGGUGCCAGAAGGCUAUGAAGGACGUGAUAAGCUGCGAUAAGCUACGGUGAGCGGCAAAUACGCUUCGACCCGUAGAUUUCCGAAUGGGGUAACCCUUCCCAAGUCAUGUUGGGAAACUGCCACUUGAAUCUAUAGAGUGGUUUGAGCAAUACCCGGUGAAGUGAAACAUCUCAGUAACCGGAGGAAGAGAAAGCGAAUGCGAUUCCGUAAGUAGUGGCGAGCGAAAGCGGAACAGUCCAAACCGGAUAGCUAUGCUCUCCGGGGUAGUAGGAUCCCAAAAAGAGUAGUUUGGACGUUAGGUAAAGCGCGUGGAAAAGCGCCCCGUAGAGGGUGAGAGGCCCGUGACCGAAAACUGAAGGACAUUCUGGGAAUUCCUGAGUAAUGCGAUGCACGUGAAACUUCGCAUGAAGCCACGCCGACCACGGCGUAAGACUAAAUACUAGCUGGCGACCGAUAGUGAACUAGUACCGUGAGGGAAAGGUGAAAAAGUACCGCUGUGAGCGGAGUGAAAGAGUACCUGAAAUCGUGCACUUACAAGGUGUCAAAGUCUCGCAAGAGAUGAUGGCGUGCCUUUUGCUUAAUGAGUCUGCGAGUUAGUAUCUGUGGCAAGUUUAAGCCCCUCUGGGGUGUAGGCGAAGCGAAAGCGAGUCUGAAAUGGGCGAUUUGAGCCGCAGGUGCUAGACCCGAAGCGGAGGUGAUCUACCCAUGGCCAGGAUGAAGCCUCGGUAAUACGAGGUGGAAGACCGAACUCGUGGACGUUGAAAAGUCCUGGGAUGAGCUGUGGGUAGGAGCGAAAGACUAAUCAAACCCCGUGAUAGCUGGUUCUCCCCGAAAUCUAUUGAGGUAGAGCCUCGUGUGCUGACCCGCAGAGGUAGAGCACUGGAUGAACUAGGGCCCAUACCAGGGUACCGAAUUCAAUCAAACUCCGAAUGCUGCGGGGUGGAACACGGGAGGCAGUCCAUGAGGGAUAAGCUUCAUGGUCGAGAGGGAAACAACCCAGAUCAGCAGCUAAGGUGCCUAAAUCGUGCUUAGUGGAAAGGAAGUGAGGUUGCUUAGACACUGAGGAUGUUGGCUUAGAGGCAGCCAUCAUUUAAACAGUGCGUAAUAGCUGACUCAGCGAGUGAUCUUGCGCCGAAAAUGAUUGGCGAUAAGCGCGAUACCGAAGCUCUGGAUUUCUCAGGGAGGUCUCUCUGAGGAGUGGUAGGGGAGCGUUGUCAGUACGGAGAAGCUUUCAGGUAACUGGGGGUGGAGUGCUGACAAGUGAGAAUGCAGACAUGAGUAGCGAUAAGCCGGGUGGAAUUCCCGGCCGCCGUAAACCCAAGGUUUCCUGGGCAAGGUUCGUCCUCCCAGGGUGAGUCGGAACCUAAGUCGAGGCCGGAGGGCGUAGACGAUGGAGAGCAGGUUAAUAUUCCUGCACCAGUUUGGUCAAAGCGCAGUGGGGACGUAUGAUGAGAGUGUGGCCGCCGAUUGAAAGUGGCGGUCCCCCUUAAAGGGGGGGACGUGGAGGCUUCGGCCUAAGCGGAUUGCACUAACAAAAUACCAAGAAAAGCUGCUGUGCGUUCCCUAGCUGUCCGUACCGCAAACCGACACAGGUGGGUGGGCAUAAGUGUGCCAAGGCGCGUGAGUGAAACCUCGUUAAGGAACUCGGCAAUCUAGCCCCGUAACUUCGGAAGAAGGGGUGCCCCCCCUAGGGGGGGUCGCAGUGAAUGGGGUCAACCGACUGUUUAACUAAAACACAGCACUCUGCUAAAUCGUAAGAUGAUGUAUAGGGUGUGACACGUGACCAAUGCCGAAAGAUUACGGUAAGAGGUUAGCCCCCAAAGGGCGAAGCUUCGAUCCUAAGUCCCGGUGAAUGUCGGCCGUAACUAUAACGGUCCUAAGGUAGCGAAAUUCCUUGUCGGGUAAGUUCCGACCCGCACGAAUCGUGUAACGAGUUGACCGCUGUCUCAACGAGGAGCUCAGCGAAGUUGUAAUGGCGGUGAAGAUGCCGCCUACCCGCAGUAGGACGGAAAGACCCUAUGCACCUUUACUGUACGCUGUCAUUGGUAUUUCGGUUUUGAUGCUUAGCGUAAGUGGGAGGCUAUGAUCCGCAGCUUUUGGGCUACGGUGAGCCGCCGGUGAAACACCACUCUUCAAUAUUGGAAUACCUAACCUUAGCCCGUUAACCGGGUGAGGGACCCUGGCAGCUGGUCAGUUUGACUGGGGCGGUCUCCUCCCAAAGAGUAACGGAGGAGUACGAAGGUUGGCUCAGCUUGGUUGUCAAUCAAGCGACGAGUAUAUGGAUAUAAGCCAGCUUAACUGUGAGACCUACAAGUCGAGCAGAUGCGAAAGCAGGUCCAAGUGAUCCGGUGGUCGAAUGUGGAAUUGCCAUCGCUCAACGGACAAAAGGUACGCUAGGGAUAACAGGCUGAUCCUGCCCAAGAGCUCAUAUCGACGGCAGGGUUUGGCACCUCGAUGUCGGCUCAUCACAUCCUGGGGCUGGAGAAGGUCCCAAGGGUCCGGCUGUUCGCCGGUUAAAGUGGUACGCGAGCUGGGUUCAGAACGUCGUGAGACAGUUCGGUCCUUAUCCACUGUGGGCGCAGGAGAAUUGAGGGAUUCAGUCCCUAGUACGAGAGGACCGGGAUUGACAAACCUCUGGUGAGCCAGUUGUUCCGUCAGGGGCACCGCUGGGUAGCUAAGUUUGGAAAGGAUAAGCGCUGAAAGCAUCUAAGCGCCAAGCCCUUCCCAAGAUGAGUUCUCCCUUAAGAGUCGUGGAAGACUACCACGUUGAUAGGUUGCAGGUGUAAGCAUAGCAAUAUGUUCAGCUCAGCAAUACUAAUAACUCGUUUGACUUUCCUAG